rnacentral:rRNA from 1 species
GACGAACGCUGGCGGCGUGCCUAAUACAUGCAAGUCGAGCGGACAGAAGGGAGCUUGCUCCCGGAUGUUAGCGUCGGACGGGUGAGUAACACGUGGGUAACCUGCCUGUAAGACUGGGAUAACUCCGGGAAACCGGAGCUAAUACCGGAUAGUUCCUUGAACCGCAUGGUUCAAGGAUGAAAGACGGUUUCGGCUGUCACUUACAGAUGGUACCGCGGCGCAUUCGCUAGUUGGUGAGGUAACGGCUCACCAAGGCGACGAUGCGUAGCCGACCUGAGAGGGUGAUCGGACACACUGGGACUGAGACACGGCCCAGACUCCUACGGGAGGCAGCAGUAGGGAAUCUUCCGCAAUGGACGAAAGUCUGACGGAGCAACGCCGCGUGAGUGAUGAAGGUUUUCGGAUCGUAAAGCUCUGUUGUUAGGGAAGAACAAGUGCAAGAGUAACUGCUUGCGCCUUGACGGUACCUAACCAGAAAGCCACGGCUAACUACGUGCCAGCCGCCGCCGUAAUAC